CCACUAACGAAAAUAAUUAAUAUGCAUUUAGGAAGGAAAGAUAAUAUCUUUAUAAGAAAAACUUCUUUCAUGAUAUUUUCUUCACUUUCUCCUCCAAUCAAGCAAAUCAUGUUAAAGUACCAUUAUCUCGUUCAUCUUAAUUAUUAACUAUAUAUAUAUCUUCCUUUUUCUUUCUUCUUCAUUCACAAAGAAAACAUUCAGUAGUUGCAGUUUGAUUCAAUGGCUUCAUCAAGCAGCCUUCAACCUGAUGGGAUGGGAAAUCAUGACCAGCUUACUCCUUUAGAAAAACAUGUAAUGUUCUUUGAUAUCAACAAAGAUGGAAUAAUAUAGCCUUGGGAAACAUAUCUAGGUUUCAGAAAACUGGGACGUAAUAUUUUCCGCUCACUUUUGGCUGCUGUUCUCAUUCAUCUUGUUCUCAGUCACAAGACUCGACCGGGCGGCAAACGGACGGGACGGGUCGAAAACGAGUAAUGAAAAAACGGAUAAAUUAUCCGAUCUGAUCCGAUCCAUAUUUAAUAUGGAUAAAAAACGGGUUAACCGGCGGAUAAUUUGAGUAACCAUCUUAUCCAUGACUUCAUGAAUAUGAUCACUUUUGGGAUAAUUCCUAGUCUCUCAAACUUGAGGAACCCCAGUUUGAGAUUUUAUAAAUGUAAAAGUUAAACACGUUAGUUAUUCAUUUUCUAAAUGAAUAAUAUGGUUCUUAUUC